rnacentral:rRNA from 1 species
UACGGAGGGGGUUAGCGUUGUUCGGAAUUACUGGGCGUAAAGCGCACGUAGGCGGACUAUUAAGUCGAGGGUGAAAUCCCGGGGCUCAACCCCGGAACUGCCUUCGAUACUGGUAGUCUUGAGUUCGAGAGAGGUGAGUGGAAUUCCGAGUGUAGAGGUGAAAUUCGUAGAUAUUCGGAGGAACACCAGUGGCGAAGGCGGCUCACUGGCUCGAUACUGACGCUGAGGUGCGAAAGUGUGGGGAGCAAACAGGAUUAGAUACCCGUGUAGUCC